rnacentral:tRNA from 1 species
GGAAGAAUGGCCGAGUGGUUUAAGGCGCACGCCUGGAAAGCGUGUUUACCUGCAAGGGUAUCAAGGGUUCGAAUCCCUUUUCUUCCG